CCUUGACCCAGCAAUCCAAGACCAACCAGCAUGUACAGUUACUUAGCAUAUGAAAUUCCAGCAAUCUCAUCUAUUCAGAAGCAGCAUAAACUUGAAAAUAAAUGGAAGAUUUCAAAAGAAAAUGAUUGUUUACCAAAUGCAAGUUAAUCAAGAGUAGGCCAUUGGAAAAUGAAGCAUAUGUUCCACAAAAAGAACCCAAUACAUAAAUGCUGAGCACAGAGGAAAUCUCUGAAUUGUGAAAAUGUGACACAGCAGGUGGUUUUUACCUUUUGACCUUCAAUGAUUCCAGUCACUGGAAUUAACAGGUUGGUUUUUGCUGAGCACAAAGCAAUUUCUGUGCUAACUUUUUACGUAGG
rnacentral:lncRNA from 1 species